rnacentral:SRP_RNA from 14 species
CCAGCCGCAAUAGCAGAGCAUCGAUCGGCGUUCUGCUGUUGGCUCGAGGGUGGGGUUGAACCAGUGGUGCCGUGCGCCACGGUCGUACGGGAAGACAGGAGCCACCUCAGGCUCGGCAGGCAGCGACUCGGAGCUGACC